rnacentral:rRNA from 1 species
UACGUAGGGGGCUAGCGUUAUCCGGAUUUAUUGGGCGUAAAGGGAACGCAGGCGGUCUUUUAAGUCUGAUGUGAAAGCCUUCGGCUUAACCGGAGUAGUGCAUUGGAAACUGGGAGACUUGAGUGCAGAAGAGGAGAGUGGAACUCCAUGUGUAGCGGUGAAAUGCGUAGAUAUAUGGAAGAACACCAGUGGCGAAAGCGGCUCUCUGGUCUGUAACUGACGCUGAGGUUCGAAAGCGUGGGUAUCGAACAGG